rnacentral:rRNA from 1 species
AUAACAAAAUCUGUUUAAAGGUUGUACCGUGAGGAAACUAUAUUAGGGGUGUUGAAGCCGGAGGUUUGUCCGAAAACAACUUGAAUUUUAUAUUGUACCGAAAGGGGUGAAGUUUAGAGAAGUUUAUAGAAGAGAUUUAAUUUCGUACUUUUUGUAUAAUGGUUUAUAGAGUGAGGAGGAGGGUUCCUGUUCCCGAAAGUUUUAGAGCUAUUUUUUUCUUAGGUGUUGUUGCAAAAACACAACAGAGUUAAAAAUAGUUUCAUGACAUGUGUAUCGAAAAAGCUGAUAGCUGGUUAAAAAGGAAAUACAUUAAAGUGUAGCGGGGACCUUUACAGUAGCAAUAAACUUGCUGUCUUUAGGGGCCCUAGUGAGUUUAUAAGGGAAAGCUUUAUAAAACAUGGAAGAUUUUUAGAUUUAUGUAAGGGUUACAUUACCUAUCUUAAUUGAAUUUUUUAUAAAACGAGUCUUUAAAAUCAUAUUUGAAGUACUUUUUUUAAAGAAAGAAUGCCUAAGCUUUAAAUUAGUAUAAAAUAAGUAAGUGAAAAGUAUGUUUAAAAAUAUUAAAUAGUAGAAUGGUUUAGUGAUACAAACUUUAGGUGGUUGUAAAAAUAUAUGUUUUAAAGGAACUCGGCAAAUAGUCUUCCCACCUGUUUAACAAAAACAUGGCCUUUCGUAAUUUUUAAUAUGAAAGGUCCGCCCUGCCCGGUGACCCACAGGUUAAACGGUUGCAGGUAUUACUGUACGAUGGUAGCGUAAUAAAUUGUCCUUUGAUAGGGGAAAGGUAUGAAGGGGUUGAUGAGGAAGAAACUGUCUCUAAAGCAGAAAUUGAAAUUUUCUUUUAAGUGAAAAGACUUAAAUUUUAUAAAAAGAAGAGAAGACCCCGUUGAGCUUGAUUAGUCUUAGUUUUUAAAACUAUUGUUAAAGUUUGGUUGGGGCAGCAGGAAGGGAAAUCGAAUCCUUCCCAAAUUAUGGGGACCCCGUUUGGCGGCCUAUAGCAAAAGCUACCACGGGGAUAACAGCGUAAUCCCCUUUAAGAGAUCGAAUCAAGAAGGGGGGUUGCGACCUCGAUGUUGGAUUAGAGAAUCGCCACGGGGCAGUUGUUGUGGUAGAAAGACUGUUCGUCUUUUUAAUCUCUACAUGAUCUGAGUUCAGACCGGUGCGAACUAGGUCGGUUUCUAUCUUUUAGAUGGAAUUUUUUAGUACGAAAGGAAUUAAAAAUCAGGUGUUACUUUCGCGCCAUUAG